GGACAACAUUUGGAAACGAAUGCUAAUACCGCAUAAAAACUUUAAACACAAGUUUUAAGUUUGAAAGAUGCAAUUGCAUCACUCAAAGAUGAUCCCGCGUUGUAUUAGCUAGUUGGUGAGGUAAAGGCUCACCAAGGCGAUGAUACAUAGCCGACCUGAGAGGGUGAUCGGCCACAUUGGGACUGAGACACGGCCCAAACUCCUACGGGAGGCAGCAGUAGGGAAUCUUCGGCAAUGGACGAAAGUCUGACCGAGCAACGCCGCGUGAGUGAAGAAGGUUUUCGGAUCGUAAAACUCUGUUGGUAGAGAAGAACGUUGGUGAGAGUGGAAAGCUCAUCAAGUGACGGUAACUACCCAGAAAGGGACGGCUAACUACGUGCCAGCAGCCGCGGUAAUACGUAGGUCCCGAGCGUUGUCCGGAUUUAUUGGGCGUAAAGCGAGCGCAGGUGGUUUAUUAAGUCUGGUGUAAAAGGCAGUGGCUCAACCAUUGUAUGCAUUGGAAACUGGUAGACUUGAGUGCAGGAGAGGAGAGUGGAAUUCCAUGUGUAGCGGUGAAAUGCGUAGAUAUAUGGAGGAACACCGGUGGCGAAAGCGGCUCUCUGGCCUGUAACUGACACUGAGGCUCGAAAGCGUGGGGAGCAAACAGGAUUAGAUACCCUGGUAGUCCACGCCGUAAACGAUGAGUGCUAGAUGUAGGGAGCUAUAAGUUCUCUGUAGCAUCAGCAGCUAACGCAAUA
rnacentral:rRNA from 1 species